rnacentral:rRNA from 1 species
GACAGAGGAUGCAAGCGUUAUCCGGAAUGAUUGGGCGUAAAGCGUCUGUAGGUGGCUUUUCAAGUCCGCCGUCAAAUCCCAGGGCUCAACCCUGGACAGGCGGUGGAAACUACCAAGCUGGAGUACGGUAGGGGCAGAGGGAAUUUCCGGUGGAGCGGUGAAAUGCGUAGAGAUCGGGAAGAACACCAGUGGCGAAGGCGGCGCUCUGGGCUGCACCUGACGCUGAGAUGCGAAAGUGUGGGGAGCAAACGGG